rnacentral:rRNA from 1 species
GAUGAACGCUAGCUACAGGCUUAACACAUGCAAGUCGAGGGGAAACGGCAUUGAGUGCUUGCACUCUUUGGACGUCGACCGGCGCACGGGUGAGUAACGCGUAUCCAACCUUCCCAUUACUGUGGGAUAACCUGCCGAAAGGCAGACUAAUACCGCAUAGUCUUCGAUGACGGCAUCAGAUUUGAAGUAAAGAUUUAUCGGUAAUGGAUGGGGAUGCGUCUGAUUAGCUUGUUGGCGGGGUAACGGCCCACCAAGGCUACGAUCAGUAGGGGUUCUGAGAGGAAGGUCCCCCACAUUGGAACUGAGACACGGUCCAAACUCCUACGGGAGGCAGCAGUGAGGAAUAUUGGACAAUGGACGGAAGUCUGAACCAGCCAAGUAGCGUGCAGGAUGACGGCCCUAUGGGUUGUAAACUGCUUUUGUAUGGGGAUAAAGUUAGGGACGUGUCCCUAUUUGCAGGUACCAUACGAAUAAGGACCGGCUAAUUCCGUG